GACGAACGCUGGCGGCGUGCCUAAUACAUGCAAGUAGAACGCACAGUUUAUACCGUAGCUUGCUGCACCAUAGACUGUGAGUUGCGAACGGGUGAGUAACGCGUAGGUAACCUGCCUGGUAGCGGGGGAUAACUAUUGGAAACGAUAGCUAAUACCGCAUAAUAUUAAUUAUUGCAUGAUAAUUAAUUGAAUGGUGCAAUUGCACCACUACCAGAUGGACCUGCGUUGUAUUAGCUAGUAGGUGAGGUAACGGCUCACCUAGGCGACGAUACAUAGCCGACCUGAGAGGGUGAUCGGCCACACUGGGACUGAGACACGGCCCAGACUCCUACGGGAGGCAGCAGUAGGGAAUCUUCGGCAAUGGACGAAAGUCUGACCGAGCAACGCCGCGUGAGUGAAGAAGGUUUUCGGAUCGUAAAGCUCUGUUGUAAGAGAAGAACGGGUGUGAGAGUGGAAAGUUCACACUGUGACGGUAUCUUACCAGAAAGGGACGGCUAACUACGUG
rnacentral:rRNA from 1 species